GAUGAACGCUAGCGGGAGGCUUAACACAUGCAAGUCGAGGGGCAGCACGAGGUAGCAAUACUUUGGUGGCGACCGGCGCACGGGUGAGUAACGCGUAUGUAACCUACCCUGUACUGGGGGAUAACCCGGAGAAAUUCGGACUAAUACCCCAUAAUUAUAUUUAGAGGCAUCUCUGAAUAUUUAAAGUUCCGACGGUACGGGCUGGGCAUGCGUAAGAUUAGCUAGUUGGUAUGGUAACGGCCUACCAAGGCUACGAUCUUUAGGGGUCCUGAGAGGGUGAUCCCCCAAACUGGUACUGAGACACGGACCAGACUCCUACGAGAGACAGCAGUGAGGAAUAUUGGUCAAUGGGCGCAAGCCUGAACCAGCCAUCCCGCGUGAAGGAAGAAGGCGCUAUGCGUUGUAAAUUUCUUUUCCAGAAGAAUAAAAUUUUGUACGUGUACAGAAUUGAAGGUAUUCUGGGAAUAAGCAUCGGCUAACUCCGUGCCAGCCGCCGCUGUAAAAC
rnacentral:rRNA from 1 species